rnacentral:rRNA from 1 species
GACGAACGCUGGCGGCGUGCUUAACACAUGCCAGUCGAACGGAAAGGCCCUGCUUGCAGGGUCCUACAGUGGCGGACGGGCGGGCAACACGGGGGUGAUCUGCCCUGCACUUCGGGAUAGGGCUGGGCGACUGGGUCUAAUACCGGAUAGGAGCUACUUUCUGCGGGAUGGUUGGAAAGAUGUUUCGGUGUUGGAUGAGCUCGCGGCCCAUUGGCUUGUUGGCGGGGUAAUGGGCUACCAAGGCGGCGACGGGUAGCCGGCCUGAGAGGGUGGACGGGCACAUUAGGACUGAGAUAGGCCGCAGACUCCUACGGGAGGCAGCGGUGGGGAGUAUUGCACAAUGGGCGCAAGCCUGAUGCAGAGACGCCGCGUGGGGGAUGACGGCCUUCGGGUUAUAAACUCCUUUCGCUAGGGACGAAGCUUUUGUGACGGUACCUAGAUAAGAAGCACCGGCUAACUACGUG